rnacentral:lncRNA from 1 species
CCCAGGGAGCAGGGUGAGCACAGAACCAGCAAGGACAGAUGGACAGAGCCUCUGAACACUCCUCUGACAUCCAGCAGUCCAUAGCAAAGAGGGAGAAGAGCCGAUCUUCCACACAGCUGCCAUGUCCAAGUGCAUGUAAGAGCAAAAGGAGCACACUGGCUGGAAUUGUUGUGGAAGCUCUAAGCAUUGUUCUGUGGUUUCUUCUCUUUCCAAGCAUCUUUGUUUCACUGAUUUCUGGCCAGAAACACAACCUGGAGUGCCCAAGGGCUGUGGCAAAGCCAGCUGUCAUGACAUUUCCAACCUAACCAGAAGUGCAGGAAAUAUCCCAAGAAAGCUUGUUUUUAUAGGCUCCCAGAAGGCUUGCAUAUGUCAGAUAUGCUUAUCCAGACCAAAGCCAGCCUUCCUGAAAUUCACCCCUCACUAACAUUAAUGCUUUUUUCCAUGUCAGCUUGAGUAGUGUGAGAUUUUUGGCAAUCAGGGGAUAGUAAAGAUUUGUUUACUGCUGUUUGGGAAUGGAUGUUGGUUUGUUUAUUGCAAUUCAUGCCAAAGGAAUAUUUCAUAACAAGUAAUAUAUUUGAGCCUAUUCAUUCUUUUCAUGAUUUUCAUUUACUGUAGGGUUUUUGUUUCGAAAGCUUGUGCUAUUCAGCAGUGGCCAAGUACAUAAAGCAAAAGGAGGUGAGGGGACAAAAAAAAAGGGAUUUUUUAAGAUACUAUCUGUUUCUUGAUAAUUUCAAAGGUAAAAUCUCUGACUUGGUGCACAGCAGUUCCAAAACAAGAGAGGGCUGUUAAACUGUUACAUUUUCAAGUAUCAAAGUUUUACAGAAAUGGUGACUUAAUUGAAAACCUUAUAUUGGUUCUGUCACUUAUCCUUGUUUCUUGGCUCAUCUACCUCAAGUGAAUAUUUUAAAUCAUGUUUCCAGUGCAAAUAUGCAUGGCAAGAAAGCUGAAAGGAGUUUUCCAUUACCUCUUAGCUCUCAUCAGGCUUAAAUUUUGCUUCUGCAAGCUUCAGUUGUUCAAAACUGCACCAAAAAUACCUUUAAAGGGUUUUCAAUGCCUGACAUUAAUUUCCUUAUAUAUGUAAAUAUUAACCAAAUAUUUUUGUAUGGUUGUCUGUUUUGAGGCAGUAGGAGGUUGAAUAAGUAUUCAGCCCCCAGGUAAGAUUCCUUGUCUAAUGCAAAAUAAAGCCACAUGGGCCCACUGUUACA